rnacentral:rRNA from 1 species
GAUGAACGCUGGCGGCGUGCCUAAUACAUGCAAGUCGAGCGAAUGGAUUAAGAGCUUGCUCUUAUGAAGUUAGCGGCGGACGGGUGAGUAACACGUGGGUAACCUGCCCAUAAGACUGGGAUAACUCCGGGAAACCGGGGCUAAUACCGGAUAACAUUUUGAACCGCAUGGUUCGAAAUUGAAAGGCGGCUUCGGCUGUCACUUAUGGAUGGACCCGCGUCGCAUUAGCUAGUUGGUGAGGUAACGGCUCACCAAGGCAACGAUGCGUAGCCGACCUGAGAGGGUGAUCGGCCACCAUGGGACUGAGACACGGCCAAGACUCCUACGGGAGGCAGCAGUAGGGAAUCUUCCGCAAUGGACGAAAGUCUGACGGAGCAACGCCGCGUGAGUGAUGAAGGCUUUCGGGUCGUAAAACUCUGUUGUUAGGGAAGAACAAGUGCUAGUUGAAUAAGCUGGCACCUUGACGGUACCUAACCAGAAAGCCACGGCUAACUACGUGCCAGCAGCCGCAGUAA